rnacentral:rRNA from 1 species
AUUGAACGCUGGCGGCAUGCCUUACACAUGCAAGUCGAACGGCAGCACGGACUUCGGUCUGGUGGCGAGUGGCGAACGGGUGAGUAAUACAUCGGAACGUGCCCAGUAAUGGGGGAUAACGCAGCGAAAGUUGUGCUAAUACCGCAUACGCCCUGAGGGGGAAAGUGGGGGAUCGCAAGACCUCAUGUUAUUGGAGCGGCCGAUGGCUGAUUAGCUAGUUGGUGAGGUAAAGGCUAACCAAGGCGACGAUCAGUAGCUGGUCUGAGAGGACGACCAGCCACACUGGGACUGAGACACGGCCAAGACUCCUACGGGAGGCAGCAGUGGGGAAUUUUGGACAAUGGGCGAAAGCCUGAUCCAGCAAUGCCGCGUGUGCGAAGAAGGCCUUCGGGUUGUAAAGCACUUUCAGCGAGGAGGAAGGGUGGUGUGUUAAUAGCACAUCAUUUUGACGUUACUCGCAGAAGAAGCACCGGCUAACUCUGUGCCAGCCGCCGCAGUAA